CAGGAGUCUGGUGCCUCACUUGGAUUCUACUCAGCCAAAAGCAAGUAGCAGAUAGCAUUAUCUCCUCAUAAUUAAAUCUGGCCAAAGUAAGAAUAACUUAUAAAGUAGAAAUUACAUACAAUUCCUUGCCUUCCUUGGAGCAGCAUUAAAAAAGAAAAUUUCACUUCACCUUUUCACCCCAGUGACCUUCAGCAAAUCUAAGUAACUUUUUCAAAAACACAUCAUUACUAGACAACAACUAUACAAUCAGGAAAUCAG
rnacentral:misc_RNA from 1 species